AAUCACAUAAUAUUUUCUCUAACAUUUCUAUGGUAUGUCUAAACAUGUAUACAAACUUCGGCUCAUCAACUUAUGUGCACUCCCACACUGCACAUAGCUGUAAUCAUCAUCCACCGGUCAUCAGCUCAUGUGCACUCCCACACCGCACAUAGAUGGAAUCAUCAUCCGCCGGUCAUCAGCUCAUGUGCACUCCCACAACGCACACGGGCGGUUACAA
rnacentral:lncRNA from 1 species